GGGGAAUAUUGGUCAAUGGACGCAAGUCUGAACCAGCCAUGUCGCGUGCAGGACGACGGCCCUAUGGGUUGUAAACUGCUUUUGUACGGGAAGAAAAGAGGGUAUGUAUACUCUUUUGCCGGUACUGUACGAGUAAGCAUCGGCUAACUCCGUGCCAGCAGCCGCGGUAAUACGGAGGAUGCGAGCGUUAUUCGGAUUUAUUGGGUUUAAAGGGUGCGUAGGCUGUUAUAUAAGUCAGCGGUGAAAUAUUCGGGCUUAACCGGGAUACUGCCGUUGAUACUGUAUAGCUGGAAUAUGGUUGCUGUGGGUGGAAUGUGUGGUGUAGCGGUGAAAUGCAUAGAUAGCACACAGAAUAUCGAUUGCGAAGGCAACUCACAAAGCCAUUAUUGACGCUGAUGCACGAAAGUGUGGGGAUCAAACA
rnacentral:rRNA from 1 species